AGCAGCUUUGUCAAAUUCAGUGCUCUCUUCUUGGUAGGAUGCACUGGCCAAAAUGGCUGCAACAGUAACUGCAGUUCAUGGGCCCUUGUUUCUCCACUGUAGACCCAGGGGAUAAAUAUGUACUGCAGACAUGU
ensembl:snoRNA